GGGAGACCAACUGAACUACCAUCCUCUCACAUUGACCACCAGAAGGCAAAUGGCUUACCAAGAUGAGGAGGAAGCAGUAGUCCAGAAAAAAGUGAUCGCCCUGAGGUCACACAGCUUCAAAGGGAGCUCUGGGUACUGAACGGUUCUGCAGCCAUGAAGAGAAGAACUUCUCUAUGAAACCUUCCCUGACCCCUACCUCCC